GGUUAAGUGGCAUUUCCUGUCCCAUUGUGUUAAAUAGCAUGCAGCUGCUGAUGUGCAGCAUGCAGCUAUCAUCAGAUACUAAACAGCAGAGUGACCUUGCUGCUGAAAACUAUAUGGCCUUUGCUGAUUGAUCUGUAGCUGCCUAGUGUUACUUUUUAAUUAUCCAGAUGCUCUGAAUUGCCAGUCUUGAUAAAGGUCCUAUAAUAGGACCGAAACGUCGAAUGUUAAAGGCAACGUUAUUGAACCUGAUUAACCUGAAUAAACUGAUUGACACAUCAA